rnacentral:lncRNA from 1 species
CAUUACAACAAAUAUAUGUCAUCAAGAGCACAAUUCCUUUAUUAAAGUAAACCUUUCUGUACCUACUUGCCUAACCAUGAGGCCACAAUCUCACC